rnacentral:rRNA from 1 species
AACGAACGCUGGCGGUAUGCCUAACACAUGCAAGUCGAACGAGAUCUUCGGGUCUAGUGGCGCACGGGUGCGUAACGCGUGGGAAUCUGCUCUUUAGUUCGGAAUAACAGUUGGCAACGACUGCUAAUACCGGAUGAUGACGAAAGUCCAAAGAUUUAUCGCCAGAGGAUGAGCCCGCGUAGGAUUAGCUAGUUGGUGUGGUAAAGGCGCACCAAGGCGACGAUCCUUAGCUGGUCUGGGAGGAUGAUCAGCCACACUGGGACUGAGACACGGCCCAGACUCCUACGGGAGGCAGCAGUGGGGAAUAUUGGACAAUGGGCGAAAGCCUGAUCCAGCAAUGCCGCGUGAGUGAUGAAGGCCUUAGGGUUGUAAAGCUCUUUUACCCGGGAUGAUAAUGACAGUACCGGGAGAAUAAGCUCCGGCUAACUCCGUGCCAGCAGCCGCCGUAA